CAAAACCAAAAAAAAA
rnacentral:sRNA from 1 species